GAUGAACGCUGGCGGCGUGCCUAAUACAUGCAAGUCGAGCGAACAGACGAGGAGCUUGCUCCUCUGACGUUAGCGGCGGACGGGUGAGUAACACGUGGAUAACCCACCUAUAAGACUGGGAUAACUUCGGGAAACCGGAGCUAAUACCGGAUAAUAUAUUGAACCGCAUGGUUCAAUAGUGAAAGACGGUUUUGCUGUCACUUAUCGAUGGAUCUCCGCCGCAUUAGCUAGUUGGGAAGGUAACGGCUUACCAAGGCAACGAUGCGUAGCCGACCUGAGAGAGUGCUCGCCCACACUGGAACUGAGACGCGGUCCAGACUCCUACGGGAGGCAGCAGUAGGGAAUCUUCCGCAAUGGGCGAAAGCCUGACGGAGCAACGCCGCGUGAGUGAUGAAGGUCUUCGGAUCGUAAAACUCUGUUAUUAGGGAAGAACAAAUGUGUAAGUAACUAUGCACGUCUUGACGGUACCUAAUCAGAAAGCCACGGCUAACUACGUG
rnacentral:rRNA from 1 species